rnacentral:lncRNA from 1 species
GCGUCGAUUCAGUAUUACAAAAAGGGUAUACCACCCGGAACAUUAUGAAACGUUCACAUAAUAAAGAAAACGAUAAUAGAAAAUCAUAAAUAGUGGAAAUUUUAAGGGGGGUGGGGGGGGGGGGUAACUGCAGAAAUGGACUCCCAACCCUGUAUCCGACAAUGGAAUAUUGGUUUGAACAUCAUAUAUAUAUAUAUAUAUAUAUAUAUAUGUAUAACAUAACUACAACGUUAACGCAUUUAGGUACCACAAUGACUCUAACAUACUUGUACAGUUCAAUCCAUGUAGGUAACGCAAUGACUCUAACAUACUUGUACAGUUCAAUCCAUUUAGGUAACGCAAUGACUCUAACAUACUUGUACAGUUCAAUCCAUGUAGGUAACACAAUGACUCUAACAUACUUGUACAGUUCAAUCCAUUUUAAUAGGUAAUGCAAUGACUCUAACAUACUUGUACAGUUCAAUCAAUGUAGGUAACGCAAUGACUAUAACAUACUUGUACAGUUCAAUCCAUUUAGGUACCGCAAUGACUCUAACAUACUUGUACAGUUCAAUCCAU